AUUUUGUGUUGUUUGGAUAGCAAUUUCUUGAUUGAAAAAGAACUUUCACAGCUCUUUCAUGCUUUUAAAAUGUUAUAAAAACUGAUCAACCAAUUAUCGCACUUGUGUAACCUCAAUGUAUCUAUAAUAGAACACAACUUUUACAAUAGAAUCUAGAACUAGAUAACAUUGCUAAAGCCUAACCAGGCAGUCAUACCACAUCUUUUUAAGAAAAUGUUACCCUUAAAAACAACAAUAUUAAUUUAAAACAGUAAUUCAAAUGAUAAACUGGUGAAUCAUGAAAUUGUAGUUCCAAAUUUUGAUUUUGUUAUAUCAAUAAUGGUAUAAAAAAGCCAACAAAUGGCUAAUAUAUAUGUAACUGCUAAAUAAAAUGCUCCACUAGGCGCAGCUUGAUACGACCGCAGAGGUCGAACCCUGAACAGUUGGGGCAAGUAUGGACACAACAUUCAAGCUUGAUACAGCUCUGAAUUUGGAUUGUGAUUAAAUAUUUGACACAGCAUAGGUUUCUGACACAGAAUGAAUGUUGUCAAAGAACUUAAAAUUUUUAAAUUGGACAUUCACCUAUUAUGGCCCAAUAUCCAAAAUCUAAAUACAUGGUUAGAUUCAGCAUAUCAAAGAACCCCAAGAAUUCAACUUUUGAUGAAAUCAAACAAAGUUUAAUUUUGGACCCUUUUGACCUCAAUGUGGACAAAGUUAAUAACGGGGCCCAAAAAUCAAAAAUCUAAAUACAUGGUUAGAUUCAGCAUAUCAAAGAACCCCAUAUAUUCAAUUUUUGUUGAAAUCAAACAAAGUUUAAUUUUGGACCCCGAUUUGGACCAACUUGAAAACUGGGCCCAUAAUCAAAAAUCUAAAUACAUGUUUAGAUUCAGCAUAUCAAAGAACCCUAAAAAUUCAAUUUUUGUUAAAAUCAAACUAAGUUUAAUUUUGGACUCUUUGGACCUUAAUGUAGACCAAUUUGAAAACGGAACCAAAAAUUAAGAAUCUAAAUACACUGUUAGAUUCGGCAUAUCAAAGAACCCCAUAAUUCAAUUUUUGAUGAAAUCAAACAAAGUUUAAUUUUGGACCCUUUGGACCUCAAUGUGGACCAAUUUAAAAAUGGGGCCCAAAAUCCAAAAACUUAAUACACGGUAUGAUUUAGCAUAUUAAAAAACUCCAAGAAUUCAAGAAUAAAACCCCAUUGAAAUUGGUCAAGAAAUAAGCAAUUUAUACGAAGUAUCUUCUUUUGCACAAUACUGUGCAAUUAAAUAUUUCUUGCUAUUGCGCAAUACCGUACAAUUGACAAUUUCUUGCUAUUGCGCAAUAUUGUGCUAUUGGAUAUUUCUUGCUAUUGCGCAAUACUGUGCAAUUGAAGAUUUCUUGCUAUUGUGCAAUACUGUGCAAUUGAAGAUUUCUUGCUAUUGUGCAAUACUGUGCAAUUGAAAAUUUCUUGCUAUUGCACAAUACUUAUUAUAUAAUAAUUUACACAUCCUGUUUGGUGUGUAUCUCCUACCAUAUCAUUAUUAUUUGCUUUUAAAUAUAAAUCAGAAAUAAC